AAAAAAAAAAAAAUUCAGUACUGUGCCAGAGAGCACUGUUCACAUUUACUAUUGCAGAAUGCCUCGGUUCAAACCCUGUAUUUGCCAUCUGCUAGCUGUGGACCUUGGGCAAGUCUCCAAACAGGGAUUUCCCCAUCUGUGAAAGACAGGAUACUAGAAAGGUCUUCCCAAGGUGCUGUUGUGAGGUUUAUUAGACAUUGACAAAUACUAAGAACCUACUGUGUCAGGAACUGUUCUAGG
rnacentral:lncRNA from 1 species